rnacentral:misc_RNA from 1 species
CGAUAUCUUCACGAAGAUGCAAAUCCUCUUCUCUUCUCCGAAGAAAUUUCUUCAGCGUUCGAUCAUUAUCUUCUUCACCUCUGGUUUCAAAUACCCGAUUCUUCCCCGAUUCGAAGCAAACCCUUUUGCAUAAUCAGCAGUGUUUUUCUGUAACUCGUUUCGUUUCACCAAUUAAUUCAGGUUCUUCGCUUAUCGGCUCGUUUUCGACUCGCUUGGAACAUACCAUGGCCACCCCUUCCAAGACUUCAGUCCAUGACUUCACCGUCAAGGAUGCUAGAGGAAAUGAUGUUGACCUCAGCAUUUACAAAGGAAAGGUCCUGUUGAUUGUCAACGUCGCUUCACAAUGUGGCUUGACCAAUUCGAAUUACACUGAACUGAGUCAGCUGUAUGAAAAAUACAAGGGUCAUGGAUUUGAGAUUCUUGCAUUUCCGUGCAACCAAUUUGGAGGCCAGGAGCCAGGAACCAAUGAAGAGAUUGUGCAAUUUGCUUGCACCCGUUUUAAGGCUGAGUACCCCAUUUUUGACAAGGUGGACGUGAAUGGAAACAAUGCGGCUCCUCUGUACAAGUUCUUGAAGUCAAGCAAAGGUGGGCUCUUCGGAGAUGCCAUUAAGUGGAACUUCUCCAAGUUCUUGGUGGACAAAGAUGGAAACGUUGUCGAUCGUUACGCCCCAACAACUUCCCCGCUCAGCAUUGAGAAGGAUGUGAAGAAGCUGCUUGGAGUUGCUUAAGAAUCUGAGGGCUGUUUUUCCUUGUCUGUUUAUUAGAAACAAUGAAUAAAGCUGCUGUGUAUUUGCUCUGAUGUGUAUGCCUGUGGUUUUCUUAAUGUUGUUCCAUGUAUUUACAAGACUGUAAGUUAAGAAUUAUGUAAUAAGUUGGUUGGGCUUUGAUGUAUCCCAAAUGUAGCUGCUGUUUUUAUGCGCUGGUUUCUUA